CCUCGUCUCUGGGAGGAACACACGAAGAUAAUGUACUCUUAUCCACCAAAAGCUUACUCCAAUCCCUAAUUGCUUUAUUUGAAUGCCAUUAAUAUAAUAUUAAGGUUAUUCAACUUCAUCAACUGCUGUGAAAAGUUUACUACAGAGAACUAGUGGUUAGCUCAGAUGAAUUCCUUGACUUUGAAACCGUCCCUUUUUGUACCUAAAUCAUCUUCUUCUUCUUCUUUAUGUACAAAAUAUUCAAAAAGUUCCCCCUAAUACCCAAAUAAGCAAACACAAAAUAGAGAUUAAUAGGCUAAUCUCUCCAGCCCAAACUACUAACUAUUUACAAUCAAUAACAAUAAUCUUCAAUAUUUGCACAAGUCAAGAGGCCUCAGAUCCGGAAACCCGAACUCGAACCCGCAUUCAUUUUAGCAGUUCGGAAACCCAUCCAACAUCCGGUGCACCGGAAUCAAGAGAGUUCUCCAUGCUUAGUUUAGCAUAAAUUCUUGCUCGGAGAUCUCGGCCGGAUUCUACCCUCUCCAUUGCCGGCUCUUCUUCACAGUGAUCAAACACCGACGCUCCACUACGGGUCGGAGUUGUUGGCAUACUCAUGAAUCCGGGUCGGAGUAUUGAUGGGCUACGAGGUGAACCAAACGCAGGAGAACCCAUUUGCAUACUACGCAUACCUCUCACCAUCCCAAUCUGCAUAUUACGCAUCGACUCCGCCAGCCCACGUGGAGUCAUCGGAGGAGAUUCAAGAGGUGGAGAAGACGAAAAAGAUUCAAACCCGACCCGACCCGGAGAUCCAUCAAACGAAUCAGACGACUCGUUGAAGCUCCUCGGACUGUUCUGAGGCAAAACACGGAGUUGUUCCGGGGUGUGAGCGAAGAAGCAGACGCGCCGGCGGCAGUGGGUCCCAUCUUUACAAGGCUGCGUACGAUAGCGAGCAGGGUGUAGCCAACACUCAAAUACGCCGUGAGCGUACUCACAUGCAUCACCUUUUUUACACUGACCUUUACGAAAAUCAGGACAAGAAGUACCUGAGUAAUGAUACUUUCUUGGAUCCCUCCGGCGAGCUUUCUCACCGGGAUGAGCGUACGGACACUCCGUCCAGUCAUGUGACCUUCCACGUGCACACUUCCUCACCUUAAACUCAUACAUCCUGAAAUUAUCACAUGAAAAUGCAUCCACCGGAAUAUCCAACCCAUCAGAGUCAAAAAUCACAUCGUUACCAUUUGAUGGCAGGUAACGCUGCAACGCCGUCAAAACAUCGAAAGCAGAAUCAGGGCUAACGGAGAAUGGGGAAUAAACAUCAACCGUUGGAUCAUCGGUGACGUCCCAAGGAGGGAUUUGGACGGUGGGAGGUGAUCGGCCGAUCAUCAUCAUUUUUUUUUUGGAGGGUUUUUAGUAGUAGUGUUUAUCUCUACUGCUUUUU
rnacentral:misc_RNA from 1 species